CACAAACGUGGCGCGCCUUCCAUCUUCCCCCCACCACUCGAACAGACUAGCGCUCCACUAGAAGCGCCUCCUCGCUUCUUCCUUUCGCACGACCGGAAGCGACGGCCGACGGUGAAGUGAACCAAGGCAAAACGACGGCAAUCGCCGACCCCCUAAUGACAUCAACCAGCGCUCCCGCAAGCGCGUGCCGCGUCACGCCGGCGCGCUCGACGGCCUCCUUCCUCCCCGCGCGCUCGCUGGCGGGCUGCAGGGCGGUGGUUUGGCGGUGCUGGAGCGCUAGGAGGGGGAGGCGGAGAAGAUGGGCGGCGCUGAGGGCCAGGUGCGUCGGAGGCCAGUCGUCCGCCGUGCAGCCCGAUUCCGGCAGCGCUGGGGAGGGGUUGGUGGCGGAGGAGGACGGGCCGCGCCGGCCGCCGUUCGACCUCAACCUCGCCGUCGUGCUCGCCGGGUUCGCAUUCGAAGCCUACACCAGCCCGCCGGCAGAUGUGGGCUGGCGCGAGACCGAUGCGGCGGACUGUCAGACAGUGUUCCUAUCCGACGUGUUUCUCCGUGAAGUAUAUGAUGGACAACUAGUUGUGAAACUGAAGAAAGGCAUAAAUCUUCCUGCAAUGGACCCAUGGGGUACAAGUGAUCCUUAUGUAAUUCUACAACUGAAUGGCCAAACUGCAAGAAGCAACAUUAAAUGGGCGACGAAGGAGCCAACAUGGAAUGAAAGUUUCACGUUUAACAUUAGGAAAUCUCGAGAAAAUCUGCUUCAGGUUGCAGCUUGGGACGCGAACCUUGUUACCCCACACAAACGCAUGGGAAAUGCUGGAUUGUACCUUGAAUCACUUUGUGACGGAAAUAGUCAUAAUGUUACUGUUGAAUUAGAAGGCCUUGGUGGUGGUGGAACUAUUGAGAUAGAGGUCAAAUACAAGAGUUAUGAUGAUAUUGAGCGCGAGAAACAAUGGUGGAGAAUACCCUUUGUGUCUGACUUUCUUGUGAAGAGUAGCCUGGGAUCUGCUCUUAGAACGGUCCUUGGAUCUGAAAGUAUAAAUGCAAGUCAGUUUGUGCAGUCUGCAUUCGGGCAACUAAGUUCUUUCACUUACACCUACCUUCCAAAACCAUCAUCUUUGGAAAGUGGAGGUGAGGUCUCUGAAAGUGUUGAAGAACCCCGGGAUAACGCAGUUGAAUCAAACAACCUUCAACAGCAGAAGAUUGAUUCUGGAGAUAGUUUAGAUUCUCACUGUGAGGCUCAAUCUCCUGCUGCAGCUGUUAACAGUGAAGGAGAUGUGUCGUCAGAUGAAUACUUCUGGAGAGCUUUGAAUAACGUGCUCAAUCAAAAUGUUCUACAAAACUUUGGAUUUUCUCUUCCUGAGGUCAAGAAAUUGGAUGGAUUUGACCUAUUAAGUUCACUUGGUCUGAAAUCACGCGAAAUUGCUGAACAGAAAUAUUUAGAAUCUGGACUGGCGACGACAGAUACUUCAACAAGUGAUGGCAGUGAAACAACUCCUGAAGAUUCAGUUGGUGUUGACAAUGAAAAUGGUGCAUUGACAACCAAAGAGGAGGAUCAGUCUUCCUUUCUGGACAUCAAUAAAGUAUCUCGGGAUGUAUUGUCUCAAACAGAAAAUAUACUAGGUGCUCUAAUGAUACUUUCGAAAAACCUCUCACCACAUGACAACAAGUCAGUAACAACAAAUGAGACAAAUAAAAAAGAUGAUAUGAUCAUAGAACAAGAAGUUGCUGCAGCUGAAGACUCUAUUGAUAAGGAUAAUACUGUUGCAUCUACCAAACUAUCUGUUGAUGCACAGAAAGCAGAGGAUAUGCGGCAUCUGUUUGCAAGUGCAGAGACUGCCAUGGAGGCAUGGGCUAUGCUUGCCACCUCACUUGGGCGUAAUAGUUUUAUCAAAUCAGAUUUUGAAAAGAUAUGUUUUCUUGACAACGUUUCGACAGACACACAAGUUGCCAUUUGGCGCGAUUCUUCACGAAGAAGGCUAGUUGUUGCCUUUCGAGGAACUGAACAAUCAAAGUGGAAGGAUUUGAGAACUGACUUAAUGCUGCUACCUGCUGGACUAAACCCUGAAAGGCUGGGUGGUGACUUCAAACAAGAAGUUCAAGUUCACAGUGGAUUCUUAGGUGCAUAUGACUCUGUUAGGAAUAGGAUCAUGGCGCUCAUCAAAUUUGCAGUAGGAUACCAGGAUGAAGAAGAUGCAGAAAAUAUACCUAGGUGGCAUGUAUAUGUAACUGGACACAGUUUAGGUGGAGCACUAGCAACCCUUCUUGCUCUUGAACUUUCAUCAAGUCAAAUGGCCAAGAAUGGUGUCAUAUUUGUCACAAUGUACAACUUUGGCUCCCCUAGAGUGGGAAAUAGAAGAUUCGCAGAAGUCUACAAUGCGAAAGUAAAGGACAGCUGGAGAAUUGUCAAUCACCGAGAUAUCAUUCCAACAGUACCACGUCUUAUGGGCUAUUGCCAUGUGGAAGCACCAGUUUAUCUCAAAUUUGGAGAUUCCAAAGAUGAACUGGUAAACAAUGGAAUAUUAGAUGAUGAAGACCAAGGUGAUGUGAUAGGGGAGUACACACCGGAUGUUCUUGUUACUGAAUUUAUGAAAGGAGAGAAGCAACUUGUGGAGAAACUACUGCAAACAGAAAUAAAUUUACUCCGCUCAAUCAGGGAUGGUUCGGCCCUUAUGCAGCACAUGGAAGACUUUUACUAUGUCACACUUCUCGAGAAUGUGAGAUCAAGGUAUCAAGUGGUUGACAGUGCAAUUGAUGAAUCCCAUCAAUUGACAGCAUGAUCCUAGUAAACUUGCAUGGUUAAACAUCCUGGACCGUGUUUCCCUACAAAAACUACAGUUCUGAUGGAAGGACAUUGUAUGAGCUAUGAAGGUGCCAUGGUGUGUCCCAUCCUCACUCUUCGCAAUCCAAACAUGCACAUCCUAUGACUGUUGUGCCAUUUAAACAUUUCAACGUACAGUUUAUAUGCUCAUUCUUUAUUCUAGGUCUAGAGUUACCAAUCAGGUUAGUGAAAAGAUGUGAACUGGUUCACUGGUAUAUACUGGUGGUACUGUGGCCACUGGUGGAGAUGUUUGAGCGGGCUAUUUUUAGUUGAUGUAACUAGCACACAUUCUGAUAUAGUAUAUGAUGUUAGAAAGUCUAGAAUAGCAGGGUGCAGCUACUUGUACAAUGUCAUAUAUAGGUGAUACAAGGAUGGGGCUGUCAGGGCGUGCUUGGUUGAGUGUAGGUUGAUGGAAUGCGCUGGAACCAUCUUCUAUGAACGGAACGGGAUAUCAAGUAGUCCACCUACAUGGAGAGCAGGCGCAACUGUGCCAGGUGGCACUGUCUUUUCUCCCUCCUACUUGGCCCGUUGCCUCUAAAGUGGAGACUACAUUAUCACCAGCAAAUGGGAGAGGCAGGAAUUAUGGCGUGAUGUUGGGAACGUGAACAAAUAAUCCAAGGGUACUCAGGAGCGAGACGUUAUGGAAGCGCGGUCCACACUGUUUGUCUUACGUUACAGCUAAUGAGCUUAACAAAAGCAAGAUAUGGACACGCGGACCACAAUGUUUAUCUAGGUUACAGCUAAUGAGCUACACAAAACAAAUAUUCAUGCUUCCUUGAAAAUAUACUGGAUUCCAGACUGAGUUUACAGUUGCUCCAAUCCCAUGAGUAUUGAAUAGA